rnacentral:piRNA from 1 species
UCCACAUUACCUCCCAGAAGUUGCCGUGA